rnacentral:rRNA from 1 species
AGAAUGAACGCUGGCGGUCUGCUUAACACAUGCAAGUCGAACGGAGUACCUCGGUACUUAGUGGCGGACGGGUGAGUAACGCGUGAGAAUCUGCCCUUAGGUCGGGGACAACCAUUGGAAACGAUGGCUAAUACCGGAUAAGCCGAGAGGUAAAAGAUUAAUUGCCUAGGGAAGAGCUCGCGUCUGAUUAGCUAGUUGGUGAGGUAAAGGCUCACCAAGGCAUCGAUCAGUAGCUGGUCUGAGAGGAUGAUCAGCCACACUGGGACUGAGACACGGCCCAGACUCCUACGGGAGGCAGCAGUGGGAAUUUUCCGCAAUGGGCGAAAGCCUGACGGAGCAAGACCGCGUGAGGGAGGAAGGCUCUUGGGUUGUAAACCUCUUUUCUUGGGGAAGAACAAAAUGACGGUACCCAAGGAAUCAGCAUCGGCUAACUCCGUGCCAGCAGCCGC